AUGCUGCUGCUCCCCCCGACCACACAGUCCUGGCGGCACAGGGAGGUUUUGGACGCCAUGUGCUGCCGACACAGCUCCUGAGUGGAAACUGCAGAAUGAGGGCCAACUUGUAGAGCUGCUCCUGACUGAGCUCUCGGGGGUCAACGCCGUACCGCUUCAAGACUCCUGACAUCCUCUGGAGAAGGCCAUCUAACACGGGACAGCCAAAUUGAGUGCUGAUCUGCUGAGGAACUUUUUUAUUGGGCUGUGUUUGUUGUCUGCCAGCAGUACCAAGUCUCUCCUCUAGGGUGUAGUCUUCGACAUAGUCCACUGGUACCGCCAGAUCCAGGUCCUCAUAAUAAGGCAGACCUGAUCAUAUCGUCAUAGUUGAGGAUGGUAAAGAUAAUUGUUUCUAAAUGUUUCUAACUGUUU